rnacentral:lncRNA from 1 species
GGAAGAAGAAGAAGAAGAAGAAGAAGAAGAAGAGAAGAGACUCUUAGACCAGGGGGUAGUUUCAUAUAUACUUCUUCAUCUAAAUCACCGUGGAGAAAGGCAUUAUUGACAUCCAGUUGAAAGAGAGUCCAAGACUGUUUUACAGCAACAACAAUCAAGGACUUGAUAGUAGAAAAUUUGACAACAGGAGAAAAUGUAUCAGUGAAGUCCACUCCCUCAACCUGAGUGUCAUCCCUGACAACCAACCUAGCUUUAUAUCUCUCCACACACCCAUCAGCCCUAUAUUUAACUUUGUAAACCCACUUGCAUCCAAUAGGCCUCUUACCAUCUCCACACACCCAUCAGCUCUAUAUUUAACUUUGUAAACCCACUUGCAUCCAAUAGGCCUCUUAUCAGGAGGAAGGGGAACAAUGGACCAUGUAUUAUUAGCUGCCAAAGCUUCAAAAUCUUAGGUCAUGGCAUCCUUCCAUGUAGGAUCAGAAGCAGCCUGGCUGUAAGAAGUAGGCUCAACAUGUGCAGUGUGAACAGAGCUGUUACAGCAAGUGGAAAAAGAACUAGUGCCAGAGAUGGGAGGAGGAAGGACACAGAUGUAUUGCUGAAGAUGUGCAGGAGGGACAUGAGGCCUGCUUGAUCUUCUAGUAGCAGGUAUCACAGGUUAUGGGUUUGGAAGAGAAUGGGAAGUGGUGAUAGUGGUAUGUAAUGGAACAUCAGCAGGAGGACAUGGAUUAGAGACAGGAGCAGAAAGGGAAGGAGAAGCAUCAGAUGUUGAGGAAGGACUGACUAAGGAUUCAUCAACAGCAGGAGAGAAGACAGGGAAUGAAGGAACAAUGGAAGAUGGAACAGAAGACUUACUCCAUGAAGAGGCAAAAGGAAAAACAUCCUCAUGGAAAGUAACAUCCCUGGAUAUGAGUGUGAGUUUAGUUUUCAAGUUAUAUAGCUUGUAUCCCUUUUUACCCAGUGGAUAUCCUAGGAACACACAAGGGUCAGCUCUGAUACCAUGUUAACAUUUUACAUCCUUCGAUUGAAGGAAGAAAUUGAAGAAGAUGAACAGUUGAGAAGAGAGAAAAGAGAGAGUAACACACAAGGGUCAGCUCUUGGGUGAAAUUUGUCUCUAUGCUGUUUAGGUACAGAAGCAAAACAAAGACAGCCAAAAGUCUUAAGAUGGUGAUAAGAAGGACUCUGUCCAAACAGUAACUCAUAAGGAGAUACAUUGUUAAGAAGUUUGGAAGGAAAUCUAUUGAUGAGAUAGGUGGCAGUAAGAACACAAUCUCCCCAGAAUUUAAGAGGAAGUUGGGACUGAAAAAGUAAUGCUCUGGAUGUUUCCAGAAGGUGCCUAUGUUUUCUCUCAACCACACCAUUUUGUUGUGGUGUAUGAGAGCAAGAUGUUUGGUGAAGGAUACCAUUCUCUUGCACCCAUUAUGGGUGGUAGUGGCAUAAGGACCCCAUGUAUCUAGAUGGAUGAGCUGAAAAGGAUGUGAUGUUUUUAUAGAACUUUCAGGAAAGGGCAAUCUAAACUGUCUUGCUAAUGGGCAAACAGUACAUAUAAAAGGCUGUUUAUUUGCAAUUUUACAUGGAAUAGAGGAAAUGUCUUUCAUUCUAACAAAAGGAAUGUGCCCCAGUCUGUUAUGCCAUAAUAGCUCCAUUUUAUUCAAGUCAGUAUGGUAUGUACAAUGAGAGGAAGAAACAGAAGCAACAGCUAAUGGAGAAUGGUAAUUACAAGGAGUAUAUGAUUGAGAGGGAGUCGAAAAAGAAGAUUAUACAAGCCUGUAAAGACAUCAUCUAGUUGACCAAUUUCCAGUGGCCUCUUCAGAGAAGGGGCCUUUAUCAAGCAAGAAAAUUUAGUAAAUAGAACAAUAGAAUUCAGCUGUUGAACAAGUUUGGAGACAGAAAUGAGAUUGUAAUAAAAACUGGGAAAGUAGAGGACAUGAUGUAGGGUGAAACAAAGAAAUUUAAUGGAUCCAGUACAUGUUACCUUAACUUUGUAACCAUUAGGUAAGGAAACAAGAAAGGCAUUAUUGACAUCCAGUUGAAAGAGAGUCCAAGACUGUUUUACAGCAACGGCAAUCAAGGACUUGAUAGUAGAAAAUUUGACAACAGGAGAAAAUGUAUCAGUGAAGUCCACACCCUCAACCUGAGUGUCACCCCUGACAACUAGCCU